rnacentral:misc_RNA from 1 species
AAGUCGUAACAAGGUUUCCGUAGGUGAACCUGCGGAAGGAUCAUUAAUAUCAAAACGUUUUUCACAACGUUAACCCAACAUGUUGAACUGUAUCGGAAACGUUGGUGGUUUUUUGGCUAAGUUUCCCUAACGUUUCUUUGUUUUAUCUCAAAAUUUAGCUAAUUUAUUUUAACCCAAUUUCACCUCUAUAUUCUAUAUUCAUUUGUAUGAACUUAUCAUUUUUUGAUCCGAAAGGAUUGAAGAAAAUCAUACGAAACUUUAAGAACAACUCUUAACAACGGAUAUCUUGGCUCUC